CGCACAGCUCAGUAACACGUGGCUAAUCUGCCCUUGGGACCGGAAUACCCCCGGGAAACUGGGGCUAAUUCUCGAUAGGUGUAGAACUCUGGAAUGAGUCUUUGCUUAAAAGACGUUUGCGUUAUGCUCGUAGGCGUCGCCCAAGGAUGAGGCCGCGACCGAUCAGGUUGUUGGUGAGGUAAUGGCUCACCAAGCCUUUUACCGGUGCGGGCCGUGGGAGCGGGAGCCCGGAGAUGGGCACUGAGACAAGGGCCCAGGCCCUACGGGGCGCAGCAGUCGCGAAAACUUUGCAAUAAGCGAAAGCUUGACAGGGCUAUCCCGAGUGCCAUCCGCUGAGGAAGGCUUUUACCCAGUCUAGAACGCUGGGGGAAUAAGGAGAGGGCAAGUCUGGUGUCAGCCGCCGCGGUAAUACCAGCUCUCCGAGUGGUGUGGAUGUUUAUUGGGCCUAAAGCAUCCGUAGCUGGCUAGGUUAGUCCCCUGUUAAAUCCACCGAAUUAAUCGUUGGAUUGCGGGGGAUACUACUUGGCUAGGGAACGAGAGAGGCAGACGGUAUUUCCGGGGUAGGGGUGAAAUCCUAUAAUCCCGGGAAGACCACCAGUGGCGAAGGCUGUCUGCUAGAACGCGUCCGACGGUGAGGGAUGAAAGCUGGGGGAGCGAACC
rnacentral:rRNA from 1 species